ACCAUGCAGUCGACGGUAACAGGAAGAGCUUGCUGCUUUGCUGACGAGUGGCGGACGGGUGAGUAAUGUCUGGGAAACUGCCUGAUGGAGGGGGAUAACUACUGGAAACGGUAGCUAAUACCGCAUAACGUCGCAAGACCAAAGAGGGGGACCUUCGGGCCUCUUGCCAUCGGAUGUGCCCAGAUGGGAUUAGCUAGUAGGUGGGGUAACGGCUCACCUAGGCGACGAUCCCUAGCUGGUCUGAGAGGAUGACCAGCCACACUGGAACUGAGACACGGUCCAGACUCCUACGGGAGGCAGCAGUGGGGAAUAUUGCACAAUGGGCGCAAGCCUGAUGCAGCCAUGCCGCGUGUAUGAAGAAGGCCUUCGGGUUGUAAAGUACUUUCAGCGGGGAGGAAGGGAGUAAAGUUAAUACCUUUGCUCAUUGACGUUACCCGCAGAAGAAGCACCGGCUAACUCCGUGCCAGC
rnacentral:rRNA from 1 species